rnacentral:siRNA from 1 species
CGAUUUCAUGAGGUUGCAAUAUCA